rnacentral:rRNA from 1 species
CACGUAGGGGGCAAGCGUUGUCCGGAUUUAUUGGGCGUAAAGAGCUCGUAGGUGGUUCGGUAAGUCGGGUGUUAAACCCCCAGGCUCAACCUGGGGACGCCACUCGAUACUGCUGUGACUAGAGUCCGGUAGGGGAGCGUGGAAUUCCUGGUGUAGCGGUGAAAUGCGCAGGUAUCAGGAGGAACACCAGCGGCGAAGGCGGCGCUCUGGGCCGGUACUGACACUGAGGAGCGAAAGCGUGGGUAGCAAACAGG